AUUUAUUUAAUCCUUGAAAACAAUAGAAAUAAUUAUUUUUAUGAUGUAUAAGGGUUUGAUAUAUGUAAUUUUUAGAGAGGGAUAAAAUAUAUUUGCCCAGUCAUUUGGUGUAAACUCACAUGCUAGUAAAAUGUAUUGAAUCUUACUUUAAAAAAGUACAGAAACACAUUUGUGGAGAAACCAAAGGUAAACACAUAAACCAGUAGUUUCCUCUGGUGCACAAACCAAAAUACACCAGAAAGAGUUAUUGCCCUUUGUAACACUCUCUUGUAUUGGAGAUAUGAACAGCCUUCAUUUGUUUUCAGUAUGGCAGGAGGUGGAAAUUGAGUUUUUAUUCAAUUUGUUCUUCAGAAGUUUAUCAAUAUCAGAUGCUCUUUGUUCACUUAAUUCACUACCACGAUCUUUAUCUUCAAUUGUGCUAAAGGAUUCCGGUUUAUUUCAUGGAAUACAAAUCCGUUUGAUCUUUGCCAUAGUCGCCGGACUCUAGCAUCCAUAUCCAAUCGUCUACGUAUUCGUAGAAAAAGUAAAUGUUGUGGAAUUUAACGCUUUAUUGCAUCACAUCCGACUAAAAAAAUGACCAGGGAAACAGAAGGCUGACAGACAUAUUCAUAGAAAAUAUGAAAAAGCCCUGCCUGUUGCCGUGUUGGAACUUGUAUUGACCUGUAUGAGCAUCAUACUGUGCAACUCACCUAAAGAUGGAGUUGACCAAGUUGCUGACUUUGAGGAGAACUUGAAGAGCAGAAGAUGCAUUCCAUGACUCUUAUGUGAUAUAGAAGACAAAGAAGAGCUCUU